rnacentral:rRNA from 1 species
AAACUAGGAUUAGAUACCCUAUUAUACUAGACUUGAAGCGUGUUACGUGAUUAGUAUCAGUUAUGUUCUUGAAAUGUAAAGGAUUUGGCUGUAUCCAAGGCUAGUCAGAGGAACCUGCCAUUUAAACGAUAUGCCAUGAAUGAUCUUGCUUUGUCUUGUUGAACAGUAUGUAUACUGCCAUUAUUAGGUGGUGUAUUAGUAUACCCAUUAAAAUUAUUUUAUAUUAAAUAUAUUAGGUCAGGUGCAGCCUAUGGCAAAGAUAUAGGUGGGUUACAGUACAUUAUAUCUAUACGAAAAGUCUCCUGAAACAGGGUCUUGAAGGUGGAUUUAAUUGUAUUUCUUUUUUAAUAUGUUAGAUUGAUUAGAGCUCUGAGGAUCUGUACACAUCGCCCGUCGCUCUUAA